rnacentral:rRNA from 1 species
UACGAAGGGAGCUAGCGUUGUUCGGAAUCACUGGGCGUAAAGCGCACGUAGGCGGAUGUGUCAGUCAGGGGUGAAAUCCCGGGGCUCAACCCCGGAACUGCCUUCGAUACUGGGUAUCUUGAGUUCGGAAGAGGUGAGUGGAAUUGCGAGUGUAGAGGUGAAAUUCGUAGAUAUUCGCAGGAACACCAGUGGCGAAGGCGGCUCACUGGUCCGAUACUGACGCUGAGGUGCGAAAGCGUGGGGAGCAAACAGGG